rnacentral:rRNA from 1 species
GUCCACGCCGUAAACGUUGGGCACUAGGUGUGGGCUCCAACCAACGGAGUCCGUGCCGUCGCUAACGCAUUAAGUGCCCCGCCUGGGGAGUACGGCCGCAAGGCUAAAACUCAAAGGAAUUGACGGGGGCCCGCACAAGCAGCGGAGCGUGUUGCUUAAUUCGAUGCAACGCGAAAACCUUACCUGGGUUUGACAUGUAGAGAAAAGCCGUAGAGAUGCGGUGUCCUUCGGGGUUCUACACAGGUGGUGCAUGGCUGUCGU